AAUGCAAGUCGAGGGGCAGCAUGAGUAGCAAUACUUGAUGGCGACCGGCAAACGGGUUGCGGAACACGUACGCAACCUUCCUUUAAGUGGAGAAUAGCUCCCGGAAACGGGAGUUAAUAGGCCGUAAUAUUAUGAUGUGGCAUCACUUUAUAAUUAUAGAUUUAUCGCUUAAAGAUGGGCGUGCGCCUGAUUAGGUAGUUGGCGGGGUAAUGGCCCACCAAGCCUUCGAUCAGUAACUGGCGUGAGAGCGCGACCAGUCACACGGGCACUGAGACACGGGCCCGACUCCUACGGGAGGCAGCAGUAAGGAAUAUUGGUCAAUGGACGAAAGUCUGAACCAGCCAUGCCGCGUGGAGGAUGAAGGUCCUCUGGAUUGUAAACUUCUUUUAUUUGGGACGAAAAAAGAUUAUUCUUAAUCACUUGACGGUACCAGAUGAAUAAGCACCGGCUAACUCCGUGCCAGCAGCCGCGGUAAUACGGAGGGUGCAAGCG
rnacentral:rRNA from 1 species